UCAGUGCUUAGUGCGUCGUGCAUCUCAUUCUUGGGCAGGAUUAUGUUGGCGACAGUCAGACACGAGCCUAUGCUCAGGCAGCGCACAAAGCAGCUUCUGAACCAUUGAAACGGUAAGUUCUGUUGAUUAUCCUUCAAUUAGCCUACAUGUAACCUCAGCACUGUUAAUAUAUUACUGUGGUAAAUUUUAAUUGGGGAUUUUUCGUCAAAAUUCAGGCGGACCAUCAACCAGAGGCGAACUAAGCAUAACGGCAUCCUAUUCAGCCAAACGGUUGAUGGAUGAUGGACAAUGACAGGUUUCAGAUCGAAUGUUGCCUGGACUACUGAUGACCAUUCCAUGGCCUUCUGGCCAUCUUAUGCAGAUCCCAAUCAAAAUGGCAUUACUGAUGCAUGAAGUCCUUGGACCAUCGUGGACCACCCACACCAUUGUAAUUUUGGGCACUGCAGGACGUACCUAAGGCGUGGGACUAGUAGAACAUAAACGGCACCAACUACGUCAGCACAUCCCCCAGUAUUGUGGCUCCUGCUGGGCAAACGGCAGCAGCAGUGCCAUGGUGCUGGUCUUCGCUGGAUUUGCCACGCUUUGUUUUUUACUCACCUAAGACAGUAAUUGCUCCAUAUCUGAUGUCAUUGGUAUCAAAACAUAUUUUUGGCGACAUCUGACAAGUGAUACAUUUGAUCUGUAUUUUCUAGAUGACUGGCUUUAUAAAAUCCAAUGUCCUUUGAGUCCAUGGGGCUGAAGAACAGUGACUAGUUUCAAAAACCUCCUAAAAAGUUAUGUACGUUUUUUUUGUGUUCCCUCAUCGCGAGUGAGGCAAGGUGGCAAUUGUUGGUCCACAUGUAUGUUUGAUUUUCAAUAUUGUCUUUGAGUUUUCUGGGUUUCAUGAAGGCUCUUUCCAAUGUGAUGUGCCGGUUGUUGUAAAACCAAUUGGGGUUUCCUGCAAACUUUUUUAAUUUCGUGUAGUUUUCAAAUGGAAAGGCUGAUACUCCAUUCAAUGUUCCAUAUCUCCUGACAUCAUAAGCUAGAUGGCAUAAAUUAUGCACAUUAUACACCAAUUCAUUUGCUCCAUAUAAUUGUUCAAAUUCAUUCAAA